GGGUAAUUGGCGUAGCGCGCAAAGCCUCGGCUUGGUAAGCCCAAGGUCCCGGGUUCGAUUCCCCGUUGGUCCA
rnacentral:tRNA from 1 species